GGUGAACGCUGGCGGUAGACCUAACACAUGCAAGUCGAACGGCAGCACAGUAAGAGCUUGCUCUUACGGGUGGCGAGUGGCGGACGGGUGAGGAAUACAUCGGAAUCUACUUUUUCGUGGGGGAUAACGUAGGGAAACUUACGCUAAUACCGCAUACGACCUACGGGUGAAAGCAGGGGAUCUUCGGACCUUGCGCGAUUGAAUGAGCCGAUGUAGGAUUAGCUAGUUGGCGGGGUAAAGGCCCACCAAGGCGACGAUCCGUAGCUGGUCUGAGAGGAUGGACAGCCACACGGGAAGUGAGGCACGGUCCAGACUCCGACGGGAGGCAGCAGUGGGGAAUAUUGGACAAUGGGCGCAAGCCUGAUCCAGCCAUACCGCGUGGGUGAAGAAGGCCUUCGGGUUGUAAAGCCCUUUUGUUGGGAAAGAAAAGCAGCAGGUUAAUACCCCGCUGUUCUGACGGUACCCAAAGAAUAAGCACCGGCUAACUUCGUG
rnacentral:rRNA from 1 species